rnacentral:piRNA from 1 species
GGAAUACAAACAUGCAGGCUGAACAC